rnacentral:rRNA from 1 species
CGGUCAUACGUAGGGUCCAAGCAUUAUCCCGGAUUGACUGGGUGUAAAGAGUUGCGUAGGUGGCAGGGUAAGUAGAUAGUGAAAUCUGGUGGCUCAACCAUUCAGACUAUUAUCUAAACUGCUCCGCUCGAGAACGUUAGGGGUAGCUGGAAUUUCUAGUGUAGGAGUGAAAUCCGUAGAUAUUAGAAAGAACACCGAUAGCGUAGGCAGGCUACUGGGACGUUUCUGACACUAAGGCACGAAAGCGUGGGGAGCAAACGGGAUUAGAUACCCCCGGUAGUCCACGCUGUAAACGAUGGAUACUAGCAGUUCCCGGUAUCGACCCCGGAAGUUGCGAAGCUAACGCGUUAAGUAUCCCACCUGUGUAGUACGAUCGCAAGAUUAAAACAUAAAGGAAUUGACGGGGACCCGCACAAGCGGUGGAGCGUGAUCUUUAAUUCGAUGAUAAACGAUAAACCUUACCAAGGCUUGACAUCUAGGGAAGGCUCUCGAAAGAGAACUGUGCCUUUUAGGAACCCUAAGACAGGUGAUGCAUGGCCGUCGUCAGCUCGUGUCGUGAGAUGUUUGGUUAAGUCCAUCAACGAGCGCAACCCUUGCAACCAGUUGGAUUUUUCUGGUAGGACUGCCCCGGUAACGGGGAGGAAGGAGGGGAUGAUGUCAGGUCAGUAUUUCCCUUACGCCUUGGGCUAGAAUCGCGCUACAAUGGCCGGUACAAUGCGAAGCGAAGCAGUGAUGUGAAGCAAAUCGCACCAAAGCCGGUCCCAGUUCGGAUUGAAGGCUGAAACUCGCCUUCAUGAAGUCGGAAUCGCUAGUAAUCGCAGAUCAGCAUGUUGCGGUGAAUACGUUCCCGGGUCUUGUACACACCGCCCGUCAAACCAUGAGAGUCACCAACACCCGAAGUCCGGUUCGCCGGCCUAAGGUGGGGGAGAUGAUUGGGGUUAAGUCGUAACAAGGUAA